rnacentral:rRNA from 1 species
AGUCGAGCGGAGAGAGGUAGCUUGCUACUGAUCUUAGCGGCGGACGGGUGAGUAAUGCUUAGGAAUCUGCCUAUUAGUGGGGGACAACAUUUCGAAAGGAAUGCUAAUACCGCAUACGUCCUACGGGAGAAAGCAGGGGAUCUUCGGACCUUGCGCUAAUAGAUGAGCCUAAGUCGGAUUAGCUAGUUGGUGGGGUAAAGGCCUACCAAGGCGACGAUCUGUAGCGGGUCUGAGAGGAUGAUCCGCCACACUGGGACUGAGACACGGCCCAGACUCCUACGGGAGGCAGCAGUGGGGAAUAUUGGACAAUGGGCGCAAGCCUGAUCCAGCCAUGCCGCGUGUGUGAAGAAGGCCUUAUGGUUGUAAAGCACUUUAAGCGAGGAGGAGGCUACUUUAGUUAAUACCUAGAGAUAGUGGACGUUACUCGCAGAAUAAGCACCGGCUAACUCUGUGCCAGCAGCCGCGGUAAUACAGAGGGUGCAAGCGUUAAUCGGAUUUACUGGGCGUAAAGCGCGCGUAGGCGGCUAAUUAAGUCAAAUGUGAAAUCCCCGAGCUUAACUUGGGAAUUGCAUUCGAUACUGGUUAGCUAGAGUGUGGGAGAGGAUGGUAGAAUUCCAGGUGUAGCGGUGAAAUGCGUAGAGAUCUGGAGGAAUACCGAUGGCGAAGGCAGCCAUCUGGCCUAACACUGACGCUGAGGUGCGAAAGCAUGGGGAGCAAACAGGAUUAGAUACCCUGGUAGUCCAUGCCGUAAACGAUGUCUACUAGCCGUUGGGGCCUUUGANGCUUUAGUGGCGCAGCUAACGCGAUAAGUAGACCGCCUGGGGAGUACGGUCGCAAGACUAAAACUCAAAUGAAUUGACGGGGGCCCGCACAAGCGGUGGAGCAUGUGGUUUNAUUCGAUGCAACGCGAA